rnacentral:rRNA from 1 species
UUCCUACGGGAGGCAGCAGUGGGGAAUAUUGCACAAUGGGCGAAAGCCUGAUGCAGCGACGCCGCGUGAGGGAUGACGGCCUUCGGGUUGUAAACCUCUUUCAGCAGGGAAGAAGCCACAAGUGACGGUACCUGCAGAAGAAGCGCCGGCUAACUACGUGCCAGCAGCCGCGGUAAUACGUAGGGCGCAAGCGUUGUCCGGAAUUAUUGGGCGUAAAGAGCUCGUAGGCGGUUUGUCGCGUCUGCUGUGAAAGCCCGGGGCUUAACCCCGGGUGUGCAGUGGGUACGGGCAGACUAGAGUGCAGUAGGGGAGACUGGAAUUCCUGGUGUAGCGGUGGAAUGCGCAGAUAUCAGGAGGAACACCGAUGGCGAAGGCAGGUCUCUGGGCUGUUACUGACGCUGAGGAGCGAAAGCAUGGGGAGCGAACAGGAUUAGAUACCCUGGUAGUCCAUGCCGUAAACGUUGGGCACUAGGUGUGGGGGACAUUCCACGUUUUCCGCGCCGUAGCUAACGCAUUAAGUGCCCCGCCUGGGGAGUACGGCCGCAAGGCUAAAACUCAAAGGAAUUGACGGGGGCCCGCACAAGCGGCGGAGCAUGCGGAUUAAUUCGAUGCAACGCGAAGAACCUUACCAAGGCUUGACAUAUACCGGAUCGUUCCAGAGAUGGUUCUUCCCCUUUGGGGUCGGUAUACAGGUGGUGCAUGGUUGUCGUCAGCUC